rnacentral:lncRNA from 1 species
UAUGAUUUCAGAUUUCACCGGUGACGUGUGCAGUUGCUGGUAGUGCGAAUGAGACAAUCUACCACACUAUGCUUUACAUAAAAAUACUUAACUAUACAGGCACUGGACAAUUGUCAAGCACAGACAAUUUCUCGGCCUUUCCUGAUGUAACAAAUAUAUGUUCAAUAUUACCUACAACUAUGAAAGUAAAAGAGAGUUCGAUGAAAACUAUGGAGUUGGGCGUAUUGGUGUAAAAUCCAUUAAAGUUCGCUCAUUCAAAGGUACCAGCAUACAUUACAUGUUCCUGUUGCGGACAUCUUUGGUGGAUUAUAGAAAAUAAUGAAAAUAGUGAAAUCCUGUACAAAUUCUUUUAAAACAUACUCGUAUGUUCGUUUAACUAAUCCUUUGAGAGGCAACUUGGAAUGAGUAUUUACCCUUCCGAAAUAUUUGACCUUAACGGGGUCAAAUUGCAGAGGUUUAUGUCUGAACAAUUAUGUCGUAUGUCACUUUAGAAAGAAAACGUUUUAGAAAUAUAUCAUGAAAUAUUCAGCGAAUUACAUUAAUAAAUGCAAUCAAUUUAUUAAUUUGUACUUUGCGACAUUUUGAAAACGGC